GUUGGAUACAGUCAGUGGAGGAACAAGGGGUUUAAGGUAAAAUAUUCCACAGCAGAGGGAAUGAAAUUCAUAAUCCUCGUGGUGUCAUAACGGUUGGCGAGGGUGGCUUCUGGAGACCAAUGAAAAAUAUGUUCGUGCGGUCGAGGAGGA